rnacentral:rRNA from 1 species
CCUACGGGAGGCAGCAGUGAGGAAUAUUGGUCAAUGGCCGGAAGGCUGAACCAGCCAUGCCGCGUGAAGGUCAGUGCCCUAUGGGCGUUAAACUUCUUUUGUGCGGGAGCAAUAAUGGUCACGUGUGGCCAGACGAGAGUACCGUACGAAUAAGCAUCGGCUAACUCCGUGCCAGCAGCCGCGGUAAUACGGGGGAUGCAAGCGUUAUCCGGAUUUAUUGGGGUUAAAGGGUGCGUAGGCUGUGAGGUAAGUCAGCGGUGAAAUGCCCCCGCUCAACGGGGUGAAGUGCCAUUGAUACUGCCUUGCUGGAAUGCGGAUGCCGUGGGAGGAAUGUGUGGUGUAGCGGUGAAAUGCAUAGAUAUCACACAGAACACCGAUUGCGAAGGCAUCUCACGAAUCCGCGAUUGACGCUGAUGCACGAAAGCGUGGGUAUCAAACAGGAUUAGAUAUCCCUGUAGUC